rnacentral:misc_RNA from 1 species
CUUCCGUAGGGUGAACCUGCGGAAGGAUCAUUACCGAGUGAGGGCCCUCUGGGUCCAACCUCCCACCCGUGUUUAUUUUACCUUGUUGCUUCGGCGGGCCCGCCUUAACUGGCCGCCGGGGGGCUUACGCCCCCGGGCCCGCGCCCGCCGAAGACACCCUCGAACUCUGUCUGAAGAUUGUAGUCUGAGUGAAAAUAUAAAUUAUUUAAAACUUUCAACAACGGAUCUCUUGGUUCCGGCAUCGAUGAAGAACGCAGCGAAAUGCGAUACGUAAUGUGAAUUGCAAAUUCAGUGAAUCAUCGAGUCUUUGAACGCACAUUGCGCCCCCUGGUAUUCCGGGGGGCAUGCCUGUCCGAGCGUCAUUUCUGCCCUCAAGCACGGCUUGUGUGUUGGGCCCCGUCCUCCGAUCCCGGGGGACGGGCCCGAAAGGCAGCGGCGGCACCGCGUCCGGUCCUCGAGCGUAUGGGGCUUUGUCACCCGCUCUGUAGGCCCGGCCGGCGCUUGCCGAUCAACCCAAAUUUUUAUCCAGGUUGACCUCGGAUCAGGUAGGGAUACCCGCUGAACUUAAGCAUAUCAAUAAGCGGAGGAA